GCGGUGUCCCACACCGACCUAGAGGAGCCUGUCCUAUAAUCGAUAAUCCACGUUAUACCCCACCACCCCUUGCAAUUCAACCUAUAUACCGCCGUCGCCAGCCUACCUUAUGAGAGAAUUAAAGUAGGCUAAAUAGUCAAUAACUAAAACGUCAGGUCAAGGUGUAGUAUAUGGGAUGGAAGAGAUGGGCUACACUUUCUAUCACAGAACAUACGAACAGCACAGUGAAACCUCUGCUCAAAGGCGGAUUUAGUAGUAAGAUAAACAAGAGACUUUACCUGAAACCCGCUCUGGGACGCGCACACACCGCCCGUCACCCUCAUCACACCCACAAAAACCCAAAAAUAUUAAAACCUUAAUAAAACAGAUGAGGAAAGUCGUAACAUGGUAAGCGCACCGGAAGGCGCGCUUGGAGUAAUCAAAUAGUAGCUUAACACUAAAGCAUUCAGCUUACAAUUGAAACAUGUUAGUGGGACCCUAACCUUUUUGA
rnacentral:rRNA from 1 species